rnacentral:tRNA from 3 species
GGUCCUGUAGCUCAGUUGGUUAGAGCUCUCCACUCAUAAUGGAUAGGUCGCAGGUUCGAGUCCUGCCGGGACCACCA